CAAAUUAUGUUGAUCCAUUCUGGAGAGUUUUCCAUGUGUACUUGAAAAGAAUGUGUAUUCUGCUGUUUUAGGGUGGAAUAUUAAAAGAAAGUAUAUUCUG